ensembl:snRNA U6 U6 spliceosomal RNA
GUUCUCAAAACUUAGCACACAUGGUUUAACUGGAAUGAUACAGAGAAGAUUAGCAUGACCUCUGUGCAAGGAUAACAAGCAAAUCUGUGACAUGUUUCCCAAGCUU